rfam:Oryza barthii chromosome 8, whole genome shotgun sequence.
AAAAACAUAAACCUUGGUUUUCCGUGUCCAACUUUGGCUAUUCGUCUUAUAUGAAUUUUUUUAUAAUUCGUAUUUUCAUUGUUGUUAGACGAUAAAACAUGAUUAAUAUUUUAUACAUGACUUGUCUUUUUAAUUUUUUUUUAUAAUUUUUUUAAAUAAGACGGACGAUCAAACGUUGGGCACGGAAACCAGGGUUUGUCUUUUU